rnacentral:sRNA from 1 species
GGUUAUGUGAACAUUUUGAUUAAGGGACUGCAUUUUUGUCAUGUGAGAUUGAUAGAAAGUUAAGUUUUGUCAGUAUUAUUUUGUUCAAAGUACUUAAAUUUUUUUCUUCUUACUGUUAUCAUGUUAUGGUGAUGUAUAAAUAGAGAGAGAGAGAAAGAGAGAGAGAGAGAGAGAGUAGUGCAUGUAUAGCUUUUACAAUUUUGCAAAAAGUUUGUAGGUCUAUUUCAUUUUCUCAAUGACUCAGAUGUUUGUUCAAUUAACCCAAAAAUCUGUUUUAUUACCAGUAUAUGUUAAUAAAUCACAAAUGUGUCCAGAUGUUAUUAACAUUUUUAGGGUAAUAAGCACCAAUAUGCACCUUUUUUUGACCUUUGUUUUUGUUGUAAAUUGCAAGAUAUGUUCAUAAUUAUGAAGGAUAGCAAGAAACAGAGACAGAUGCUUUUUUACUGUUGAUUAUAGAGUUUUCAUUUUAUUCAGUGGUGUUAUAGUAUAUAGAUUUAUUGUACUCUUAUACCAUAAUGAUAUAUUUUAAAUAAAUGUGACAUAUUUGAAAUAAAUAUCAGUUGCAUGUUAAUACAUGUAU